CCUACGGGUGGCAGCAGUGAGGAAUAUUGGUCAAUGGACGAGAGUCUGAACCAGCCAAGUAGCGUGAAGGAUGACUGCCCUAUGGGUUGUAAACUUCUUUUAUAAAGGAAUAAAACGUGGCACGUGUGCCUUUUUGCAUGUACCUUAUGAAUAAGGAUCGGCUAACUCCGUGCCAGCAGCCGCGGUAAUACGGAGGAUCCGAGCGUUAUCCGGAUUUAUUGGGUUUAAAGGGCGUGUAGAUGGGUUGAUAAGUCAGUUGUGAAAGUUUGCGGCUCAACCGUAAAAUUGCAAUUGAUACUGGCAGUCUUGAGUACAGUUGAGGUAGGCGGAAUUCGUGGUGUAGCGGUGAAAUGCUUAGAUAUCACGAAGAACCCCGAUUGCGAAGGCAGCUUACUGAACUAUGACUGACGGUGAUGCUCGAAAGUGUGGGUAGCAAACAGGAUUAGAUACCCGAGUAGUC
rnacentral:rRNA from 1 species